rnacentral:rRNA from 1 species
UUCGGUGAUCAUGGCAAGAGGGAAACACCUGGUUCCAUUCCGAACCCAGAAGUUAAGCUUCUUAGCGCCGAUGGUACUGCAGGGGGGACCCUGUGGGAGAGUAGGACGUCGCCGGAC